GACGAACGCUGGCGGCGUGCUUAACACAUGCAAGUCGAACGGAAAGGCCCUGCUUUUGUGGGGUGCUCGAGUGGCGAACGGGUGAGUAACACGUGAGUAACCUGCCCUUGACUUUGGGAUAACUUCAGGAAACUGGGGCUAAUACCGGAUAGGAGCUCCUGCUGCAUGGUGGGGGUUGGAAAGUUUCGGCGGUUGGGGAUGGACUCGCGGCUUAUCAGCUUGUUGGUGGGGUAGUGGCUUACCAAGGCUUUGACGGGUAGCCGGCCUGAGAGGGUGACCGGCCACAUUGGGACUGAGAUACGGCCCAGACUCCUACGGGAGGCAGCAGUGGGGAAUAUUGCACAAUGGGCGGAAGCCUGAUGCAGCAACGCCGCGUGCGGGAUGACGGCCUUCGGGUUGUAAACCGCUUUCGCCUGUGACGAAGCGUGAGUGACGGUAAUGGGUAAAGAAGCACCGGCUAACUACGUGCCAGCAGCCGCGGUGAUACGUAGGGUGCGAGCGUUGUCCGGAUUUAUUGGGCGUAAAGGGCUCGUAGGUGGUUGAUCGCGUCGGAAGUGUAAUCUUGGGGCUUAACCCUGAGCGUGCUUUCGAUACGGGUUGACUUGAGGAAGGUAGGGGAGAAUGGAAUUCUUGGUGGAGCGGUGGAAUGCGCAGAUAUCAGGAGGAACACCAGUGGCGAAGGCGGUUCUCUGGGCCUUUCCUGACGCUGAGGAGCGAAAGCGUGGGGAGCGAACAGGCUUAGAUACCCUGGUAGUCCACGCUGUAAACGGUGGGUACUAGGUGUGGGGUCCAUUCCACGGGUUCCGUGCCGUAGCUAACGCUUUAAGUACCCCGCCUGGGGAGUACGGCCGCAAGGCUAAAACUCAAAGGAAUUGACGGGGCCCCGCACAAGCGGCGGAGCAUGCGGAUUAAUUCGAUGCAACGCGUAGAACCUUACCUGGGUUUGACAUGGAUCGGGAGUGCUCAGAGAUGGGUGUGCCUCUUUUGGGGUCGGUUCACAGGUGGUGCAUGGCUGUCGUCAGCUCGUGUCGUGAGAUGUUGGGUUAAGUCCCGCAACGAGCGCAACCCUUGUUCACUGUUGCCAGCACGUUAUGGUGGGGACUCAGUGGAGACCGCCGGGGUCAACUCGGAGGAAGGUGGGGAUGACGUCAAGUCAUCAUGCCCCUUAUGUCCAGGGCUUCACGCAUGCUACAAUGGCUGGUACAGAGAGUGGCGAGCCUGUGAGGGUGAGCGAAUCUCGGAAAGCCGGUCUCAGUUCGGAUUGGGGUCUGCAACUCGACCUCAUGAAGUCGGAGUCGCUAGUAAUCGCAGAUCAGCAACGCUGCGGUGAAUACGCUCCCGGGGCU
rnacentral:rRNA from 1 species